rnacentral:lncRNA from 1 species
UCAGACCUUAGUUAUCAAGAGGUUUUAUUAUAGAACCACUAGUAACUCAUAGACUCUUCCUGUUAUGUGAAAUAAAUGAAGACCAGCCAACUAAGAAAGGCAAAGGCUAUGUAUUCUGAGCUCAUCUGGAUCAGAGGAGUCAGCACUGUCAUUUGUGUUUGGCAGAGACUGAAAGGUUAUUUGCAACUUACCUGGCUAAGCUGAACUCCAGAAUUUGGACUAGAGGCUUCAGGAUGCUGGUGCAGUUCAAGUCUGGUCCACAUGUCUCCUCCUCCUUCGAGGGUCAUUGACUACUUUGUGUAUCUUCUUUUCAUGACAGUUCAUAUGAGUGCAAGAUGGCUCGAUAGACUUGCACACAAGUUUAAAGAUUUUUGUAUACACCUCAUUCCAUUGUUAAAGCAAGUUGCAUGGUCAAAUCUAACAUCUCUGGACAAGGACAUGCAUUCAUACCACUCUACUGCACUGCAAGCUCACGCAGAGGAGCAGAUCAUAAAACGUGAUUGAUGCAUGAUGAUGAUAAUGACCAACCUACCAUCAUGGACAUGACCGUA